rnacentral:rRNA from 1 species
AACGAACGCUGGCGGCAUGCCUAACACAUGCAAGUCGAACGAUGCCUUCGGGCAUAGUGGCGCACGGGUGCGUAACGCGUGGGAAUCUGCCUUUCGGUUCGGAAUAACUCAGGGAAACUUGAGCUAAUACCGGAUAACGUCGCAAGACCAAAGAUUUAUCACCGAAAGAUGAGCCCGCGUAGGAUUAGCUAGUUGGUGAGGUAAAGGCUCACCAAGACGACGAUCCUUAGCUGGUCUGAGAGGAUGAUCAGCCACACUGGGACUGAGACACGGCCCAGACUCCUACGGGAGGCAGCAGUGGGGAAUAUUGGACAAUGGGCGAAAGCCUGAUCCAGCAAUGCCGCGUGAGUGAUGAAGGCCUUAGGGUUGUAAAGCUCUUUUACCCGGGAAGAUAAUGACGGUACCGGGAGAAUAAGCCCCGGCUAACUCCGUG